AUUGAACGCUGGCGGCAUGCCUUACACAUGCAAGUCGAACGGCAGCACGGGAGCAAUCCUGGUGGCGAGUGGCGAACGGGUGAGUAAUAUAUCGGAACGUGCCCAGUCGUGGGGGAUAACGCAGCGAAAGCUGUGCUAAUACCGCAUACGAUCUAAGGAUGAAAGCGGGGGAUCGCAAGACCUCGCGUGAUUGGAGCGGCCGAUAUCAGAUUAGCUAGUUGGUGGGGUAAAGGCCCACCAAGGCGACGAUCUGUAGCUGGUCUGAGAGGACGACCAGCCACACUGGAACUGAGACACGGUCCAGACUCCUACGGGAGGCAGCAGUGGGGAAUUUUGGACAAUGGGCGCAAGCCUGAUCCAGCAAUGCCGCGUGCAGGAUGAAGGCCUUCGGGUUGUAAACUGCUUUUGUACGGAACGAAACGGCGAGCUCUAAUACAGUUUGCUAAUGACGGUACCGUAAGAAUAAGCACCGGCUAACUACGUGCCAGCCGCCGCCGUAA
rnacentral:rRNA from 1 species